rnacentral:rRNA from 1 species
CAGCAGCCGCGGGAAUACGAAGGGUGCAAGCGUUAAUCGGAAUUACUGGGCGUAAAGCGCGCGUAGGUGGUUCAUUAAGUCGGAUGUGAAAUCCCUGAGCUUAACUUAGGAAUUGCAUUCGAUACUGGGAAGCUAGAGUAUGGGAGAGGAUGGUAGAAUUCCAGGUGUAGCGGUGAAAUGCGUAGAGAUCUGGAGGAAUACCGAUGGCGAAGGCAGCCAUCUGGCCUAAUACUGACGCUGAGGUACGAAAGCAUGGGGAGCAAACAGGAUUAGAUACCCCUGUAGUCCCUGUCUCUUAUAC